GUGGUCAGGAAACAGCUAAUGGAAAAUUUCAGCAAUCAUUCCUUCUUUGGACUCAUGUCAAUUUGGUGGAAUCUCUCGGUUACUUCUGGAUCCAGCUGCUGCUACCGAUUCAUGUUUGGUGUUAGCUGAUUGGACUGGACUGCCACUACUGAUUUGUGUUUGAUGUUUUGAACCGGACUGCUGAUAACCUGACAACGAAGAUUGGAAUCACCCUAAAGAACUACUUCUAAACAGGCCCACAUCCUCCUUGUUCUAUUAACCAUCUUUCUCCUAUACCUCUGGUAGGUGAGCUAGAAGGGAGAUUGAAGCAUUAAAGAACCCUAAUUAAAGUCGGUUUUGAAAACUCUAAGCCUAUAGAGCCAUCUUCCUAGCCUGCUUUGCAUCUUGAAA
rnacentral:lncRNA from 1 species